CCAAUUGUAAGUUGUGGCCUAUAGGUGUCCUCAGGGCCUGGACCCUUGUCAAUCGUGAGAAAUUUGAGGCAGAUAUGACAAUGUACACU